rnacentral:rRNA from 1 species
UAAGACGAAGGGGGCUAGCGUUGUUCGGAAUUACUGGGCGUAAAGCGCGUGUAGGCGGUUGCCCAAGUCGGGUGUGAAAGCCUUGAGCUCAACUCAAGAAAUGCACUCGGUACUGGGUGACUAGAGGACCGGAGAGGAUAGUGGAAUUCCCAGUGUAGUGGUGAAAUACGUAGAGAUUGGGAAGAACACCAGUGGCGAAGGCGGCUAUCUGGACGGUUUCUGACGCUAAGACGCGAAAGCGUGGGGAGCAAACAGGAUUAGAUACCCUGGUAGUCCACGCCAUAAACGAUGAGGACUAGACGUUGGAGGGGUAAGCCUUUCAGUGUCGUAGCUAACGCGCUAAGUCCUCCGCCUGGGGAGUACGGCCGCAAGGUUG